ensembl:lncRNA
UGAAGACUGAUUGACAAAUGGCAUUUUUUAGUUAUAACCACAUAAAUAUAUCAGUGUAUGUUAUAAGCAUUAUAUAUUUUCACUCUACCUGGCCUGCCAAGGGUACUGCAGUGAACUCGAGUCAGAAGAACGCUGAGCAGAUCCACCUGGCUUUGUGCAUCCAGCAUGGAACUCCUGAACUCAGCUCCCUCCUUGCACUUCCCACACCCUACACUCCAGUGUUAGGCCAUGUGCCACAGCUCCAAGGGUGUGGAGAAAGGCAAAAAAAAUUCACAAAGGCCUCACCUGAGCUGGCAGAAAUUGACAAGAGGAAAUCUUGGGCUUGAAGAUGUACCUUAGAGUCUGUUGCGUGUCAUAACCCACCCUAGGCCUUUAUUGGGACUCUCCAGAAGACAGGAAGGCAUUUCAGGCCUGUUCCAAGGUUCAUCGUAGAGCUGCUAACGUCUGGAAAAAUCAUGUACUCAGACUGCCCCUCUGCUGCCAUCUGUGACAUGACAACAAAAUAUAAUGGAAUAUUGGCAGGAAGGGUCAGCCUCUUCUGCCAUACCAACAUCCACCUUCGAUGUUGUAAGCCGACAUAAUAAAAUAGGAAGCAUUACUUUCAGAGCAGCCUCUGUAUGUAGUAUAGUUAGUGUGUAUAAGCAACAAAACUUAUUUAUUUUUAAUUACAAUAUACAAGGGAGCAGCAAAGACAUGGUGGGAGAGCU